rnacentral:rRNA from 1 species
GCGAACAGACAAGGAGCUUGCUCCUUUGACGUUAGCGGCGGACGGGUGAGUAACACGUGGGUAACCUACCUAUAAGACUGGGAUAACUUCGGGAAACCGGAGCUAAUACCGGAUAAUAUUUCGAACCGCAUGGUUCGAUAGUGAAAGAUGGUUUUGCUAUCACUUAUAGAUGGACCCGCGCCGUAUUAGCUAGUUGGUAAGGUAACGGCUUACCAAGGCGACGAUACGUAGCCGACCUGAGAGGGUGAUCGGCCACACUGGAACUGAGACACGGUCCAGACUCCUACGGGAGGCAGCAGUAGGGAAUCUUCCGCAAUGGGCGAAAGCCUGACGGAGCAACGCCGCGUGAGUGAUGAAGGUCUUCGGAUCGUAAAACUCUGUUAUUAGGGAAGAACAUACGUGUAAGUAACUGUGCACGUCUUGACGGUACCUAAUCAGAAAGCCACGGCUAACUACGUGCCAGCAGCCGCGGUAAUACGUAGGUGGCAAGCGUUAUCCGGAAUUAUUGGGCGUAAAGCGCGCGUAGGCGGUUUUUUAAGUCUGAUGUGAAAGCCCACGGCUCAACCGUGGAGGGUCAUUGGAAACUGGAAAACUUGAGUGCAGAAGAGGAAAGUGGAAUUCCAUGUGUAGCGGUGAAAUGCGCAGAGAUAUGGAGGAACACCAGUGGCGAAGGCGACUUUCUGGUCUGUAACUGACGCUGAUGUGCGAAAGCGUGGGGAUCAAACAGGAUUAGAUACCCUGGUAGUCCACGCCGUAAACGAUGAGUGCUAAGUGUUAGGGGGUUUCCGCCCCUUUAGUGCUGCAGCUAACGCAUUAAGCACUCCGCCUGGGGAGUACGACCGCAAGGGUUGAAACUCAAAGGAAAUUGACGGGGACCCGCACAAGCGGGUGGAGCAUGUGGUUUAAUUCGAAGCAACGCGAAGAACCUUUACCCAAUCUUGACAUUCCUUUUGACCAACUUCUUAGAGAUAGAGCUUUCCCCUUCGGGGGACAAAGUGACAGGUGGUGCAUGGUUGUCGUCAGCUCGUGUCGUGAGAUGUUGGGUUAAGUCCCGCAACGAGCGCAACCCUUAAGCUUAGUUGCCAUCAUUAAGUUGGGCACUCUAAGUUGACUGCCGGUGACAAACCGGAGGAAGGUGGGGAUGACGUCAAAUCAUCAUGCCCCUUAUGAUUUGGGCUACACACGUGCUACAAUGGACAAUACAAAGGGCAGCGAAACCGCGAGGUCAAGCAAAUCCCAUAAAGUUGUUCUCAGUUCGGAUUGUAGUCUGCAACUCGACUACAUGAAGCUGGAAUCGCUAGUAAUCGUAGAUCAGCAUGCUACGGUGAAUACGUUCCCCGGGUCUUGUACAACACCGCCCGUCCACCACC